rnacentral:lncRNA from 1 species
GGCAUCUUGAGAUGGCAAACAGUAAAUGUGCCUGUGUUAAUAACAACAAAAAUAAUUCUUUGUGCUCUACCCGUCUACUGAUUUUUACUUAUAAAAAUUAUGUUCAUUAGCUUUCCCCACCCGACCCAACAACCUGGUGAGUUUGGUGUGGGAGAUAUAUUUGGAAUGUAAGGAAACUGAAGCAUUGAGAACAAGAUGACCCUCCUUAGGACCCCAGCCAUAUACAGAUUUAUGGAUUUUCAUCCAAGGCAAAAAUGCAGGGCUGUUCGUACAGCUUAACUGGAGCUAUACUGGCAGAAAAUAAGGGCAGGAACCAAAGCUGCUGUCACAAAGAAAGGACUCUCCCAGUUCUCUAUUUGGUAUUUAAAAAUAGGAGAGAAAAUGGCAUAGCUUGAAUCUGAGAUAAUGCUUGCCACUUUGUGAAUGUUCUUACAGUGCAUUGCCUUCGAAACAAAUUGGCCCUCGUCUACAAAGGUUUCUUUUUUGUACUCUCACAAACUCAUUUUUAAUGGCUUGUAUGGCAUCAGUUGUGCCCCUGAGCUGUAAUGAAGCACUCUGCAAGUCACCACACGCGUCAGAAAUGAAUCUCAUGGAGGGGAAAAUGCUGGAGCAUUAAUAGGUUUUAAUCCAAGCGGUAAAUGGUACGAUACUCCCCCAUGAUGCUGGGCAGCAGCAGCAGCCACAGCUCCCAGUCAGCUACGAGAUCACCAAGGUCCACAACAGGUCACUGCCACAACACGGCUGAGUGGUGUAGGUCUGCACCUAGGAUCUGAACCUGCAAACCUGGG